rnacentral:rRNA from 1 species
GAUGAACGCUGGCGGCGUGCCUAAUACAUGCAAGUCUAGCGAACAGACGAGGAGCUUGCUCCUCUGACUUUAGCGGCGGACGGGUUAGUAACACGUGGAUAACCUACCUAUAAGACUUGGAUAACUUCUGGACACCGGCGCUAAUACCGGAUAAUAUAUUGAACCGCAUGGUUCAAUAGUGAAAGACGGUUUUGCUGUCACUUAUAGAUUGAUCCGCCCCGCAUUGGCUAGUUGGUAAGGUAACGGCUUACCAAGGCGACGAUGCGUAGCCGACCUGAGAGGGUGAACGGCCACAGUGGAAGUGAAGAACGGUCCAGACUACUACGGGAGGCAGCAGUAGUGAAUGGGCCGCAAUGGGCGAAAGACUGACGGAGCAAAGGCGCGUGAGUGAUGAAGGUGUUAGAUGAGGAAAACGCUGUUAUUAGGGAAGAACGAAUGUGUAAGUAAAGAAGCACGUGGUUACGGGACCAAAUCAGAAAGCUAAGGGUAACUACGUG